AUAUGCUUAAGUUCAGCGGGUAUCCCUACCUGAUCCGAGGUCAACCUGGAAAAAAUGGUUGGAAAACGUCGGCAGGCGCCGGCCAAUCCUACAGAGCAUGUGACAAAGCCCCAUACGCUCGAGGAUCGGACGCGGUGCCGCCGCUGCCUUUCGGGCCCGUCCCCCCGGAGAGGGGGACGGCGACCCAACACACAAGCCGGGCUUGAGGGCAGCAAUGACGCUCGGACAGGCAUGCCCCCCGGAAUACCAGGGGGCGCAAUGUGCGUUCAAAGACUCGAUGAUUCACUGAAUUCUGCAAUUCACAUUAGUUAUCGCAUUUCGCUGCGUUCUUCAUCGAUGCCGGAACCAAGAGAUCCAUUGUUGAAAGUUUUAACUGAUUGCAUUCAAUCAACUCAGACUGCACGCUUUCAGACAGUGUUCGUGUUGGGGUCUCCGGCGGGCACGGGCCCGGGGGGCAAAGGCGCCCCCCCGGCGGCCGACAAGCGGCGGGCCCGCCGAAGCAACAGGGUAUAAUAGACACGGA
rnacentral:rRNA from 1 species